AACGCGAAGAACCUUACCUGGGUUUGACAUGGAUCGGGAGUGCUCAGAGAUGGGUGUGCCUCUUUUGGGGUCGGUUCACAGGUGGUGCAUGGCUGUCGUCAGCUCGUGUCGUGAGAUGUUGGGUUAAGUCCCGCAACGAGCGCAACCCUUGUUCACUGUUGCCAGCACGUUAUGGUGGGGACUCAGUGGAGACCGCCGGGGUCAACUCGGAGGAAGGUGGGGAUGACGUCAAGUCAUCAUGCCCCUUAUGUCCAGGGCUUCACGCAUGCUACAAUGGCUGGUACAGAGAGUGGCGAGCCUGUGGGGGUGAGCGAAUCUCGGAAAGCCGGUCUCAGUUCGGAUUGGGGUCUGCAACUCGACCUCAUGAAGUCGGAGUCGCUAGUAAUCGCAGAUCAGCACG
rnacentral:rRNA from 1 species